CCCUACGGGGUGCAGCAGGCGCGAAACCUUUACAAUGCACGCAAGUGUGAUAAGGGAACCCUAAGUGCUCAUGCAUUGCAUGGGCUUUUGCCAAGAGUAAAUAUCUUGGAGAAUAAGUGGUGGGUAAGACUGGUGCCAGCCGCCGCGGUAACACCAGCGCCACAAGUGGCAACCGCGUUUAUUGGGCCUAAAGCGUCCGUAGCCGGUUAAGUAAAUCUCUUGUGAAAUCGUUAGGCUCAACCUAACGGCGCGCAUGAGACACUGCUUAACUCGAGACCGGGAGGAGUCAGAGGUAUUUCACGGGGAGCGGUUAAAUGUGAUAAUCCGUGGAGGAUCACCUAUGGCGAAGGCAUCUGACCAGAACGGAUCUGACGGCCAGGGACGAAGGCUAGGGGAGCGAUCCGGAUUAGAUACCCGAGUAGUCCUAGCAGUAAACGCUGUGAGCUAGAUGUUGCGUUUCUCACGAGGAUGCGCAGUAUC
rnacentral:rRNA from 1 species